rnacentral:rRNA from 1 species
AGUGAACGCUGGCGGUAGGCCUAACUCAUGCAAGUCGAACGGCAGCACAGAGGAGCUUGCUCCUUGGGUGGCGAGUGGCGGACGGGUGAGGAAUACAUCGGAAUCUACUCUGUCGUGGGGGAUAACGUAGGGAAACUUACGCUAAUACCGCAUACGACCUACGGGUGAAAGCAGGGGAUCUUCGGACCUUGCGCGAUUGAAUGAGCCGAUGUCGGAUUAGCUAGUUGGCGGGGUAAAGGCCCACCAAGGCGACGAUCCGUAGCUGGUCUGAGAGGAUGAUCAGCCACACUGGAACUGAGACACGGUCCAGACUCCUACGGGAGGCAGCAGUGGGGAAUAUUGGACAAUGGGCGCAAGCCUGAUCCAGCCAUACCGCGUGGGUGAAGAAGGCCUUCGGGUUGUAAAGCCCUUUUGUUGGGAAGGAAAUCCAUCUGGUUAAUACCCGGGUGGGAUGACGGUACCCAAAGAAUAAGCACCGGCUAACUUCGUGCCAGCAGCCGCCGUAA